rnacentral:rRNA from 1 species
ACUCAAAUGAAUUGACGGGGACUUGCACAAGCAGAGGAUUAUGAGGUUUAAUUCGAUGUCAAACGAAGAACCUUACCAGGGUUGGAAAUCUACACGACAUCUCUAUGAAAGUAGAGCUCCGCAAGGCGGGUAGACAGGUGUUGCAUGGCCGUCGUCAGUUCGUGGUUUGAACUGUUCCCUUAAGUGGGGUAACGAACGCAACCCACGUUGCCAGUUAUAAAUGUCUGGCGAGACUGCCCCGUGAAAUGAGUGCAAAGAAAUUUGUUAGCAUUUUACGGGGAGGAAGGCGUGGAUGACGCCAGGUCAGCAUGGCCCUUUGAUACCCUGGGCCACACUCAUAAUACAAUCGCUACUACAACGCGACGCAAUACCGCAAGGUGGAGCAAAUCGUCAGAAAAGUAGCGCCAGUUCGGAUUGGAGUCUGCAACUCGACUCCAUGAAGCCGGAUUUGCUAGUAAUCGCAGGUCAGCUAUACUGCGGUGAAUACGUUCUCAAGUCUUGUACACACCGCCCGU